GGGACAACAGUUGGAAACGACUGCUAAUACCGCAUGACGCAUAGAGGUCGCAUGAUCUUUAUGCCAAAGAUUUAUCGCUUCAAGAUGGCCUCGCGUCUGAUUAGCUAGUUGGCGGGGUAACGGCCCACCAAGGCGACGAUCAGUAGCCGGACUGAGAGGUUGAACGGCCACAUUGGGACUGAGAUACGGCCCAGGCUCCUACGGGAGGCAGCAGUGGGGAAUAUUGGGCAAUGGGCGCAAGCCUGACCCAGCAACGCCGCGUGAAGGAAGAAGGCUUUCGGGUUGUAAACUUCUUUUAAGAGGGAAGAGCAGAAGACGGUACCUCUAGAAUAAGCCACGGCUAACUACGUGCCAGCAGCCGCGGUAAUACGUAGGUGGCAAGCGUUGUCCGGAUUUACUGGGUGUAAAGGGCGUGCAGCCGGGUCUGCAAGUCAGAUGUGAAAUCCAUGGGCUCAACCCAUGAACUGCAUUUGAAACUGUAGAUCUUGAGUGUCGGAGGGGCAAUCGGAAUUCCUAGUGUAGCGGUGAAAUGCGUAGAUAUUAGGAGGAACACCAGUGGCGAAGGCGGAUUGCUGGACGAUAACUGACGGUGAGGCGCGAAAGUGUGGGGAGCAAACAGGAUUAGAUACCCUGGUAGUCCACACUGUAA
rnacentral:rRNA from 1 species